UCACUCUUCUCCCUUCUUUCUUUCCCCGACCACCCUUUUCCCCAGCAACCACCCUAAAGAGCACUGUUAUCCCUAGUUUCUGGUUGAAGUUCGACCGUAAACUUCAUCCCAAACCCAAAACACGAUGAAUGUUCUUCAUGAACAUUCAUCCCCAAACCCAUUUCUUCAACAUUCGUGAACCAUACUCUGUAUUCAACAUGGACCCUAACCUACAAACCCAAAAAUGAUGAACCCUCGCCUAGGUUCAACAUGAACCCUAACCUCCAAAAACGAGAAACAAUGAACCUUAACCCUUACCCUAACCUAAACCCAGAAAUACCCUAAACCUACCCAGAUCGAAAUCAAACUACCUUCGAACCUUAAAUCAGAACCUUCUUAAUCUUAAUUCCACAUGCAAACAAAUAAUCAAUCAUCGAAAAUCCUGAAACCCUAAACCCCUCUUAAUCCCAAACCCUAACCUUAAUCAUCAAACAAACACAACAACAACAACAUUAUAAACAAGGUAACAAACCCAACACUUUUUGCGCCUUAAUAUCUUUUCACCCAAAUGAAUAUAAGAAUCCAAACCCAUCAUUGUUCAGUAAUGCAAUUUUUUUUCCUCAUUGUGCCUGCUAGACCCUUCGAAUAGCUAUAUUAACUAUAUCUGAGUCAUCAAUGAUGUAAAGUUACAUAUCAUUUGCAUGCAAGACUAAUCUUGGUAUGAAAAUGGUUAGUUUUUGCGUGCCUAAAGAAAAUACUGAUUUAGUAGUCUGGUUGCAGGAUGAUAGCUCAAAAGAUUAUAUUGACAUUCAACAAAACAGUUGUAAUGGGCUAUAUAUCUCAGUGGUAUUUAUUUCGCCUUUUCUGUUUGUAUUAUUACCCUUUAUUCCUCAAUGUGAAAAUUAUAUUUAGUUUGAA
rnacentral:lncRNA from 1 species